UAUCAACAAAAGUUGCUUUCAUUUCACACUGGCUUGUUAGCUGGAAGGGGCGGCGUUGGUCCAGGUUUCACUAUGCUAACAUGGGCUGCCAUCAAUUUGAUCUCUUUGGCUGGAACCAUUGGGCAAUGUCAUGAGCAAAAGCAGGUGACCAUUUAUAAAUGUGAUUUAUGUUUAAAGAGAUAAGGUACCUCACCCUACCUCCACCCCUAUACCUUUUAUUUAUACACCCAAAGUUCCAAAUCUUGGAGAAGAGUCUGUAAGGAACAUAGGCAGGAGAGUGGAUUGGUGAUGGUUCUAGAAGUUAGGGCAUCUUGAGUUUAGUAAUUCUAUAGUCUUAGCCAACUAUGGGAUUUUGAGCAAACCAUUGGAAGUGAUGCCUCAGUCUCUUCUCCUGUGUUAGUAAAAGUAUUCACUUAAUCUACCUUGAAAAUAUUAGCUGAAAAAGGAUAUUGUCAGAUAGGGCUUCCUUGUUUGCAUAUUGAGAACUUGUGUAAAUUAAACUGAAAACCCAAUCCAGCACUCCAAUCCUGACGGCCUUUUUGCAGGGUAUGACUCAUACAUCCUUAAGCUGCAUUCUAACCAGCAAGCUUUCUCUGUUUUCUUUCUUGUUGACAGAACCUUACUAUUUUGUCUUAUCUUAGGGAGGCCCUGUCUUCAAAGGAGACGUACUCUGCUUCAGGUUAUAACUGGUAUUGGGCUGAUCUAAUCAUGUAGUCUCCCCUCCUUGCUAACAAUAUCUUUGAAAAGAAGUAGGGUCUCUUCUGUUUGAUGAAAUCUAAUAGGAUGUCUUCUCAAAACUUCUAGGAAAGGUUUUCCUUCAUGCUAAGAACAGACAUUUAAGGAGAAACUUUCCUUUUUCUGCAACCAGCCAUUAUCAACAGCAAAUGCUUCCUGAUUGCACAGAAAUCCUGCAAGCAUAAGAGGAAAAGGGAGAGAAGGCAAUCAGGAACCAUGACAAUGUCAUCACUGUUCUUACAGUGGUGGAAUCUUACAA
rnacentral:lncRNA from 10 species